rnacentral:rRNA from 1 species
AUGGAUUUAUUGAGGCUUCACAACUUUCUAAGCCGAUUCCGCAACUGGAUUUCCGCUCUCCUUUCCACGGCCUCCUCCAGAGUCCUUCUGAACGGUGUUGCGGGCAACCCAAUCAUGCAUGGAUGUGGUCUUCGUCAGGGGGAUCCUCUCUCCCCCCUCAUUUUCGUCCUAGCCAUUGACCCGCUCCAUCACAUCCUCGCAAAGGCUACCGAUCAAGGCAAUUUGCACCCUCUUCGUGGCCACCCAAUUCGGGCAUCUCUUUAUGUGGAUGAUGCGGCCAUUUUUGUGAAGGAAAUAUGCCCUAGAGGCAAUAAUAAAGUUAUUAUUUAUUUCCUUAUAUCAUGA